CCAUGGUCCUUAGCGAGCAAAUCCUUAAUAGUUAGCCUUCGACAUCGAGCCGAUUCGACUGGAGUCGACGCUAGCAAAACUAGCAUAGUAGUGACGUAUCACAGCGUCACCCUGUUCGUUUUUUUGUCUGUUCAUCGCUACCAGAUCAGCCUGAAGUAAUUCCGUACUGGUGAAUCUUGCUAUCGGAAUUUGGUAGCUUGCUAGAUAGGCUACGUUUAGUGGACUAAAACUGUGGUAGGACUUUUGCAGUACAAAUAUAGCUUUCAGAGCUGGGGAAUCUGAUGAUUUGUGACUUGUGGAGAGUUUCAUGAAGGACACUUCGGUAUUUCUACAAAAAUAAUCCGCAGUGGCCUAGACUAUGGCAAUUGACGGUUUCCUAUGUUAUUUUACUUACUGAAC